GACGAACGCUGGCGGCGUGCCUAAUACAUGCAAGUUGAGCGAUGAAGAUUGGUGCUUGCACCAAUUUGAAGAGCAGCGAGCGGGUGAGUAACGCGUGGGGAAUCUGCCUUUGAGCGGGGGACAACAUUUGGAAACGAAUGCUAAUACCGCAUAACAACUUUAAACAUAAGUUUUAAGUUUGAAAGAUGCAAUUGCAUCACUCAAAGAUGAUCCCGCGUUGUAUUAGCUAGUUGGUGAGGUAAAGGCUCACCAAGGCGAUGAUACAUAGCCGACCUGAGAGGGUGGUCGGCCACAUUGGGACUGAGACACGGCCCAAACUCCUACGGGAGGCAGCAGUAGGGAAUCUUCAGCAAGGGACGAAAGUCUGACCGAGCAACGCCGCGGGAGUGAAGAAGGUUGUCGGAUCGUAAAACUCUGUUGGUAGAGAAGAACGUUGGUGAGAGUGGAAAGCUCAUCAAGUGACGGUAACUACCCAGAAAGGGACGGCUAACUACGUG
rnacentral:rRNA from 1 species